rnacentral:misc_RNA from 1 species
GGAAUUUCUCCAGUAAAACUGUUGCUAUACACAGCAAAGCCAUUAAGAUGCUGCAUAUCACCAAAGCCUGGAGGGAUUUGUCCAGAGAAAUUGUUCUUGAAUAUUUGAAAAACCGUUAAGUUCUUCAGGUUGUCAAUCCCCUUAGGCAAAGUCCCAUGCAGCUGGUUUCUAGAAACAUCAAUUUCCUGCAGAUGUAUAAGAUCAACAAGUUCUACUGGCAAUUCCCCGGUCAAAUUAUUUUGAUAAAGUUCAAUCUUGAAGAGAUUUCGCAGCUUGUUUAUCGACUUUGGGAAAUUCCCUGACAUAUGGUUUAUCGAAAUAUCUAAUGUACCUAGUGCCUCCAUUUCGAAAAUAGAUUCAGGGAUUUGUCCUGUCAAAUUUGACCCUGCUAAGAAAAGCCAAUAAACUUUCUUCAACUUCCCAAAUAAAUCAGGAAGUUUA